rnacentral:rRNA from 1 species
GACAGAGGGGGCAAGCGUUGCUCGGAAUCACUGGGCGUAAAGGGCGCGUAGGCGGGAUGGCAAGUCAGUCGUGAAAUCUCUCGGCUCAACCGAGAAACGUCGGCUGAUACUGCCGUUCUUGAGGGAUGCAGAGGAGACUGGAAUUCCAGGUGUAGCGGUGAAAUGCGUAGAUAAUCUGGAGGAACACCGGUGGCGAAGGCGGCAUCCUGGACCAACACUGACACUGAGGAGCGAAAGCCAGGGGAGCAAACGGG